CCUACGGGACGCAGCAGUGGGGAAUAUUGCACAAUGGGGGAAACCCUGAUGCAGCGACGCCGCGUGAGUGAAGAAGUAUCUCGGUACGUAAAGCUCUAUCAGCAGGGAAGAAAAAAAGUCUUUGGCUUUGGACGGUACCUGACUAAGAAGCCCCGGCUAACUACGUGCCAGCAGCCGCGGUAAUACGUAGGGGGCAAGCGUUAUCCGGAUUUACUGGGUGUAAAGGGAGCGUAGACGGCGAUGCAAGUCUGAAGUGAAAGCCCGGGGCUCAACCCCGGGACUGCUUUGGAAACUGUAUGGCUGGG
rnacentral:rRNA from 1 species